UGGAAGCGCGUGCGCGGCUACGCGGCUGUACUUUCCCGGACGGCAGGGGCGUGACCUUCACCGUCAGGGGCGGAGCCUGGCCGCCCAGUCUGACCCCGACUGUACGGCUCCACGACCCCCUAAGCACAUGGCGCGGCACGUGUUCCUCACCGGGCCUCCAGGGGUUGGCAAAACAACCUUGAUCCAGAAAGCCAGCGAGGUCCUGCAGUCCUCCGGGGUGCCCGUAGAUGGAUUUUACACACAAGAAGUCAGGCAGGGAGGGAGGAGGAUCGGAUUUGAUGUUGUCACCCUGUCUGGCUCUCGGGGGCCUCUGUCCAGAGUUGGGUCACAGCCUCCACCUGGAAAGCCUGAGUGCCGAGUGGGGCAGUAUGUGGUGGACCUGGCUUCUUUUGAGCAGUUGGCACUACCUGUCCUAAGAAAUGCAGGUCCCAGCGGCGGCCCCAGGCACAGUGUGUGCAUCAUUGAUGAGAUUGGGAAGAUGGAGCUGUUCAGCCAGCCUUUCAUUCAGGCAGUCCGCCAGACACUGUCCACACCAGGCACUGUUGUCCUCGGCACCAUCCCAGUCCCCAAAGGGAAGCCACUGGCCCUGGUGGAGGAGAUCAGGAACAGGCGUGACGUGAAGGUGUUCAAUGUCACUAAGGAGAACAGAGAUAGCCUCCUGCCGGAUAUUGUGACCUGCGUGCAGAGCAGCAGGACCUGAGGCCGCAGGCAACCAGGUCCAGCUCUGCCUGCUGGUUACUGCCUGCCCAGGCUGGUUCCCCGCUGUGUCACCGAACUUACACUGCUGACCUCCGACCCUAGCAAUGAGUGAACUGGGUGGAAGGGCACUCCCCUUAGUGGACAGCGCCCCAGAGUACAAGUGAGAAAGGGGCUCAGUGCCGAAUAAACAAGUAAGCAUGGCAGAAUGAAGAAGCACCCGUCUGAACCAUCCAUGAGAACCCACCAGGAAUGCUGUCACACUCCCGCGAAGCUUAGGAAGCCCCCAGCAACAGAGGCUCAUUACUGAGAGAGGAAGAAGACGGCACUGAAUGACAGUUGGAGACCAAGGCACGUGACCUACCUUGAUGACCUUGAAGCUCAGGAAACCCCUGUGGAGCAUGAUGACCUUGUACUCAUCAGCACCCUCGUCCACCACGUGCCUCAGAGUCAACAGCUCCUCCUUGUUGGACAGCACAGCGCUCCUCCAGGCUGGGUCUCCCUCGUGGCAGAUCACGACCUUCUUCUCAAAGGACUGGAUGGCCUCAUAGAGAACUGCCGGGUCUUCAUAUUCAUCAGGGCAGGUGAACUGGUCCUGGUGGGGAGAGCCCAAGUGGGCUCAGUGAGGCCAGAGCUGCUGGUCUGGGCAAGGGCAGAGGGGGACUUGCAGUGGCCUCUAGGGCCACACGCUCUCCUUGUUUUCCUCCCUCAGCCCCCCAGCCCCUACCCCAUCACUGAAUCCUAAGCUGGGCACAGAGGGCAGCUCAACUCAUUGUCCCUAACCAGAUGGAGCAUGCCUAGGAAAGAGCUGCAUUUCUCAGACCUCUGUGACAUUUAGGUCAAUCCCCCUCUUCCUUGUGAACCUCCUCCUAUGUGCUCCUGGGAGAAGAAGGCCAUUAGCCAAUAUCAAGUUUAUUCAGACCACCCCAAAGUACUGAAUAAUUUCUGAGGCUCUCCAGAAAAGAGGUACCAGAUUUUGUUGGUUUUGUUUG